rnacentral:rRNA from 1 species
AGCAGCCGCGGUAAUUCCAGCUCCAAUAGCGUAUAUUAAAGUUGUUGCAGUUAAAAAGCUCGUAGUUGAAUUUCGGGAUCAAUAUAUCGGUCGUGCCAUUGGUACGUACUGGUACCAUUGGUUUCUCCUUUCUGACGAACCAUGAUGUCAUUAAUUUGGUGUUAUGGGAAGUUAGGACUGUUACUUUGAAAAAAUUAGAGUGUUUAAAGCAGGCUUUAGCUUGAAUACAUUAGCAUGGAAUAAUGAAAUAGGACGUUCGAACCUAUUUUGUUGGUUUCUAGGAUCAACGUAAUGAUUAAUAGGGAUAGUUGGGGGGCAUUAGUAUUCAAUUGUCAGAGGUGAAAUUCUUGGAUUAUUGGAAGACUAACUACUGCGAAAGCAUUUGCCAAGGAUGUUUUCAUUAAUCAAGAACGAAAGUUAGGGGAUCGAAGACGAUCAGAUACCGUCGUAGUCUUAACCAUAAACUAUGCCGACUAGGGAUCGGAUGAUGUUAAUUUUUUAAUGACUCAUUCGGCGCCUU